UAACUGCGAUGUGGGGACGGAGUAGUGACACUGCCGCGAUCGUGACGGAAUAGAUCGUUGAAGGCUGUAGGUAUAUCGAACACAGGCAAAUCCGUGAUCGAUGCUGAACGCUGAUAGUACCAAGGACCUUCGGGCGAUUGGAUAGUGCAGGUAAUCAGACUUCCAAGAAAAACCGCUAAGCUCCAGGUUAUAAAAACCCGUACCGCAAACCGACACAGGUAUCCGGGAAGAGGAUUCUAAGGUGCUCGAGUGAAUCAUGGCUAAGGAACUCGGCAAAAUGGCCCUGUAACUUCGGGAGAAGGGGCGCUGACAGCGAUGUCAGCCGCAGUGAAAAGGCCCAGGCGACUGUUUAACAAAAACACAUGGCUUUGCAAAAUCGAAAGAUGAGGUAUAAGGCCUGACACCUGCCCGGUGCUGGAAGGUUAAGAGGGGAUGUCAUCGCAAGAGAAGCAUUGAAUCGAAGCCCCAGUAAACGGCGGCCGUAACCAUAACGGUCCUAAGGUAGCGAAAUUCCUUGUCGGGUAAGUUCCGACCUGCACGAAUGGUGUAACGAUCUGGGCGCUGUCUCAGCCAUGAGCUCGGUGAAAUUGUGGUCCCGGUGAAGACGCCGGGUACCCGCAACGGGACGGAAAGACCCCAUGCACCUUCACUACAAUUUAACAUUGACAUUGGGUACAGGAUGUGUAGGAUAGGUGGGAGGCUAUGAAUCGGUGUCGCCAGGCAUCGUGGAGCCAACGUUGAAAUACCACCCUUUCUGUAUUCGGUGUCUAAUCCCAUAAAUUGGGAGACAUUGUUUGAUGGGUAGUUUGACUGGGGUGGUCGCCUCCAAAAAGGUAACGGAGGCUUUCAAAGGUAAGCUCAGUACGCUUGGUAACCGUACGUGGAGUGCAAUAGCAUAAGCUUGCUUGACUGUGAGACAUACAGGUCGAUCAGGGUCGAAAGACGGAUAUAGUGAUCCGGUGGUUCUGCAUGGAAGGGCCAUCGCUCAAAGGAUAAAAGGUACGCUGGGGAUAACAGGCUGAUCUCCCCCCAAGAGCUCAUAUCGACGGGGAGGUUUGGCACCUCGAUGUCGGCUCGUCACAUCCUGGGGCUGGAGAAGGUCCCAAGGGUUCGGCUGUUCGCCGAUUAAAGUGGCACGCGAGCUGGGUUCAGAACGUCGCGAGACAGUUCGGUCCCUAUCUGUUGUGGGCGUAGGAAUUUUGAGUGGGGCUGACCUUAGUACGAGAGGACCGGGUUGGACCAGCCUCUAGUGAAUCUGUUGUUCCGCCAGGGGCAUUGCAGAGUAGCUACGCUGGGAAUAGAUAAGCGCUGAAAGCAUCUAAGUGCGAAACUAGCCACGAGAUGAGAAUUCCAUAUAGGACCGUAGCAGACUACGUACGUUGAUAGGCUACAGAUGUAAAGCUGGC
rnacentral:rRNA from 1 species